AGAGUUUGAUCCUGGCUCAGAUUGAACGCUGGCGGCAGGCCUAACACAUGCAAGUCGAGCGGAUGAGAAGAGCUUGCUCUUCGAGUUAGCGGCGGACGGGUGAGUAAYGCCUAGGAAUCUGCCUGGUAGUGGGGGACAACGUUUCGAAAGGAACGCUAAUACCGCAUACGUCCUACGGGAGAAAGCAGGGGACCUUCGGGCCUUGCGCUAUCAGAUGAGCCUAGGUCGGAUUAGCUAGUUGGUGAGGUAAUGGCUCACCAAGGCGMCGACCCGUAACUGGUCUGAGAGGAUGAUCAGUCACACUGGAACUGAGACACGGUCCAGACUCCUACGGGAGGCAGCAGUGGGGAAUAUUGGACAAUGGGCGAAAGCCUGAUCCAGCCAUSMSGMGUGUGUGAAGAAGGUYUUCGGAUYGUAAAGCACUUUAAGUUGGGAGGAAGGGCAGUAAGSGAAUMCCUKGCUGUUWWGWCGUYACCGRCAGAAUAASCACCGGCUAMCUSUGUGCCAGCAGCCGCGGUAAUAC
rnacentral:rRNA from 1 species